CUCCUGGGUGGGUAAACGAUUGUCCCUCUUCCUGCGGAGGUAUCGUUUCGGAGUUUACAACUCCCAAACCCAAUGUGAACGUUACCAAACUGUUGCCUCGGCGGGGUCACGCCCCGGGUGCGUCGCAGCCCCGGAACCAGGCGCCCGCCGGAGGAACCAACCAAACUCUUUCUGUAGUCCCCUCGCGGACGUAUUUCUUACAGCUCUGAGCAAAAAUUCAAAAUGAAUCAAAACUUUCAACAACGGAUCUCUUGGUUCUGGCAUCGAUGAAGAACGCAGCGAAAUGCGAUAAGUAAUGUGAAUUGCAGAAUUCAGUGAAUCAUCGAAUCUUUGAACGCACAUUGCGCCCGCCAGUAUUCUGGCGGGCAUGCCUGUCCGAGCGUCAUUUCAACCCUCGAACCCCUCCGGGGGAUCGGCGUUGGGGAUCGGGACCCCUCACACGGGUGCCGGCCCCGAAAUACAGUGGCGGUCUCGCCGCAGCCUCUCCUGCGCAGUAGUUUGCACAACUCGCACCGGGAGCGCGGCGCGUCCACGUCCGUAAAACACCCAACUUUCUGAAAUGUGACCUCGGAUCAGGUAGGAAUACCCGCGAACUAGCUCU
rnacentral:rRNA from 1 species